AUUCGUCUUGGGACCAUAGUCAUCUAAACAGACAAACAAUCAUGAGACUUGUGAGCUAAGUUUAACUUUGAACAUGGUACAAAUAGAACUCGUUUACUCCACUUCCCACUGCGUCUUUGAGUCAGCAAACCAUAGUGAUAGUGUAGAAUUUCUGUGAUCUUAACUUAAAAGUUCCAACAUUUUCCUUGUUCUUUUUUUUUUUUUCUGUUCAAUCUUGUUAGCUAAGAUGGGAAAAGGAGAGGGUCCGGCGAUCGGAAUUGACUUGGGAACGUGCUACUCAUGUGUGGCAAUUUGGCAACGUAAUCGGGUGGAGAUCAUACCCAAUGAUCUGGGGAACCGUACAACACCAUCUUAUGUGGCUUUCAAUGAAACUCACCGUUUGAUUGGUCAGGCAGCUAAGGACCAGGUUUCCAUGAACCCCACCAACACUGUUUUUGACUCUAAGCGUUUGAUUGGAAGGCGAUUCAAUGAUGAAUCUGUGCAACGUGACAUGAAACUGUGGCCAUUCAAGGUGAUUGCUGACCCUGAUCAUGGGAGGCCCAUUAUUGCGGUCACAUACAAGUAUGAGGAAAAACAUUUUUUGGCUGAAGAAAUCUCUUCAAUGGUACUCGUAAAGAUGAAGGAGAUUGCUGAGGCUCACUGCGGUUCAAAGAUCAAGAAUGCUGUCAUUUCUGUCCCUGCUCGUUUCAACCACUCACAGCGUCAAGCCACAAUGGAUGCCGGUGUCAUUGCUGGUCUAGAUGUGAUGCGACUUAUCAAUGAGCCAACUGCUGCUGCUAUUGCAUAUGGGCUUGACAAGGAUGGUACUGGUGAGAAGAAUGUGCUCAUCUUCGAUCUUGGUGGUGGGACACUGGAUGUCUCGCUUCUUACCAUUGAAGGGGGUAUCUUUGAAGUGAAAGCUACAGCAGGUAAUACUCACUUGGGAGGUGAAGAUUUUGAUAGUAGAAUGGUGAAUCAUUUUGUUCAAGAGUUCAAGAGAAAGCAUAAGAAGGAUAUUACAGGGGGUAAGGCUUAUAGGAAGUUGUGGAAUGCUUGUGAAAGGGCUAAGAGGAUGCUAUCAUCUAACACUCGAACAACAAUUGAGAUUGAUUCCUUGUAUGAUGGUAUUGAUUUCUACUCUUUUAUCACCCGAGCCAAGUUUGAGGAGCUUAACAUGAAUUUAUUCAGGAAGUGUAUGGGGCCUGUUGAGAAGUGUUUGAUGGAUGCUAAGAUGGACAAGAGCAGAGUCCAUGAUGUGGUUCUGGUUGGAGGGUCUACGAGGAUCCCCAAGGUUCAGAAAUUGUUACAGAACUUCUUUGAUGGGAAGGAGCUCUGCAAAAGAAUUAAUCCUGAUGAGGCUGUUGCUUAUGGUUGUGCUGUGCAGGCUGCAAUUCUCAAUGGUGAGGGUAAUAUGAAAGUGGAAAAAAUCUUGUGCCUAGAUGUCACCCCUCUAUCUCUUGGUUUGGAGACCUCUGGAGAUGUCAUGACUGUGUUGAUUCCAAGAAACACCACUAUUCCCACCAAAAAGGAGGAGGAAUUCACAACCAACUCUGAUGAACAGGAGAGUGUGAAUAUCCAGGUUUAUGAGGGUGAACAUGCCAAAACAAGUGGUAACAAUUUGCUGGGCAAGUUUGAGCUCUCUGGUAUUCCUCCAUCUCCUAGUGGAGUUCCAAAAAUUGCUGUUUGUUUUGAUGUUGAUGUUGAUGGAAUCUUGAAUGUUUCUGCCAAGGACAAAACCACUGGAAAGAGGAAUAACAUUACAAUCACUGAUAAGUGCAGGCUCUCCAAGGAAAAGAUUAAGAAAUUAGUGCAGGAGGCUAAGAAGUACAAGGCUGAGGAUGAGGAGCAUAACAUGAAGGCCGAAUUAAAGAAUGCGCUUGAGAACUACGCUUUCAACAUGAGGAGCACAUUUAGAGAUGAAGAGACUGUUGCUAAGGUUCGUGCUGUGGACAAAAAGAUGGUUGAAGAAGUAAUUGAGGAGACUAUCGAUUGGCUUGAAAGGAAUCAGCUUGCCGAGGCAGACGAAUUUGAGGAUAAGAUGAGCGAGCUGGAGAACAUCUGCAAUGCAGUAAUUGCCAUGAUUGGUCAAGGUGCUGAUGAUGACGUGGGUGGAGCCAAACUUGAGGAUGAACAGCAUAUGGAGGAGAUUAAGAUUCAUCAAGGUGUUGAUAGUGAUUUGAAUGUAGCUACUCAAGAGGAUACGAAGCCUAAGAAGGAGAUUCACGUUUGUCAGGGUCCUAAUGGUCACAUGGCUAUAGCCAUGAAAGAGGUUAAUAUUCAGAAGGAGAUUAAGGACAAAGUGCAGGAGGCUGAGAAGAAUAUAGCUCAGGAUAAGGAGGACAAGAAGAAGGAGAUUAAGGACAAAGGGCAGGAAGUUGUGAAGAAUAUAGCUCAGGAUAAGGAGGAUAAGAAGAAGGAGAUUAAGGACAAAGGGCAGGAGGCUGAGAAGAAUAUAGUUCAGGAUAAGGAGGAUAAGAAGAAGGAGAUUAAGGACAAAGGGCAGGAGGCUGAGAAGAAUAUAGCUCUGGAUAAGGAGGAUAAGAAGAAGGAGAAGAUUGAGAAGUACAAGGCUGAGGAUAAGGAGCAUAAAAAGAAAAUUGAGGCAAAGGAUGCAUUGGAAAAUUGUGCUUACAACAUGAGGUACAAAAUCAACGAUGUGAAGAAUGCUUUGAAAAAGACUGAAGAUGCAAUUGAGCAACCAUCCUCUGGCUUCAAAGGAACCAGCUUUCUGAGUCAGAUGAGUUUGUGGAUAAAAUGAAGGAGCUGGAGGGCAUUUGUUUCCCGUUUAUUACCAAGAUGUACCAAGGAGUUGGUGGUGAUUAUGCUACGACUUCAACUUCUUCUUCAACUAUGCCUUCAUCAACAACUUCAACUUCAAUCAAUUUGAUCAAUCAGCCUCUGUUGCUGCUGUCAAAUAUGUCAAACAUGAUGACAGUCAAGUUGGACAAUUCCAACUACAUAGUGUGGAAGCAACAAAUUUCCAUGGUGCUGGAGACUUAUUCAAUGAUUGAACUUCUUGAUGAAAUUCCUCUUGUUCCAGAGAAAUUCUUGAAAGAUCUCUCAGGUACUAUUACAACAGUACUAAAUCCGGAUUAUCUUGCUUGGAAAUCAAAGGAAAAGGCACUGCUUACCUUUAUCAGUUCCACUCUAACACCUUCAGUUCUUGCUAUAACUGUUGGUUGUUCAUCAGCUCUAGAAGUUUGGAAAGUCCUGGAAAACAGGUUUUCUUCCAUUUCGAGAUCUCAUGUGAUGAAUCUCAAGGGAGAAUUGCACAAUGUAAAGAGAGGAUUAGAUUCUGUAGACACAUAUCUGCAGAAAAUCAAGGUCAUUAGAGACAAAUUAAUGGCAGUUGGAGUUUUUCUAGAUGAUGAAGAAUUGCUUCAUGUGGCAAUUAAAGGACUUCCAAGAGAAUUUAGUGCAUUCAGGUCUGCAAUUAGGACAAGAAGCACAAAACUGAGUUUUAAUGAGUUAGCUACUAUGCUAAAUGCAGAAGAAGAAUCACUGAAUGAAGGACUGGAGAUUAAAGACUCAACCUUUGCAAUGGCUGUCAACACAGCACCUAGAUCUAAUAACAAUGGUGGUUUUAGCAAUUACAAUCAGUCCACUAAUCGUCGUAGAGGGAGAGGCAACAAUAACAGAGGUAGAGGACGAGGCUCUUCACCUAAUCAGUUUUCACAAUAUUCUCCUAAUCAAGGAUCUGGUCCAAGAGCAGAAAGGCCUAUUUGUCAAAUCUGUGGUAAAGCUGGUCAUAUAGCUAUAGAUUGCUACCAUAGGAUGGAUUAUGCCUAUCAAGGCAAACAUCCACCAACUAAAUUGGCAGCAAUGGCCACUUCUUCCAAUUCUAUGAUUGCACAAGAGCAGCCUUGGCUAGCAGACAGUGCAGCCACUGACCAUGUUACCUCUAGUCUUAAUCACCUAAGCUUUCCUAAACCCUAUAAUGGACAGGAUCAUCUCACAGUGGGUAAUGGACAAACUCUGCCUAUCACACACAUAGGCCUUGGCCACGGGGACAGUGCUCUACAAGGGCAAGAGUGAAGGUGGGGUGUAUCCUAUUUACCCUCACAAGGCACCUAAACUUCUGCUUCCACCCAAAAUCUGCAAUUCAGUCUUCACUUCACCAUCUAGUUGGCUUCUAUGGCACAACAGACUUGGUCAUCCCAUUUCCCAAGUUCUUAGAUUUCUUUUUCAGCACAAAAGCUUGUCUUUUAAUAAGUGUCCAAACUUUGUAGAUUCUUGUGUUCAUUGUCUACAUGGAAAAAUGCAUAAACUUCCUUUCCCUAGCUCUAAAUUUGUUGCUACUGCACCAUUUGAGCUUGUACAUACUGAUCUUUGGGAUCCUGCACCUCUUACUUACAAUAAAUGGUUUCCAAUAUUAUGUCA